rnacentral:sRNA from 1 species
AACAAGGGGGAGUCUCCCUGCACAAGCUCUCUCUCUUUGCCUGCUGUCAUCCACCUAAGAUGUAACUUGCUCCUCCUUGCCUUCCACCAUGAUUGUGAGGCUUCCCCAGCCACGUGGAACUAAUGAGGCAGAAGUUACACUGUGCCAGUUUGGGCCCAGCUCUUCACAGGCCUGGCAGCUUCCACUUUUGCUCUCUUAAAAUCCAGCUUUCAUGCUGAAGAGGCUGCGUGGGGAAGAAUCCUGGAAAAUGACAGGACACCUUGAACAUUCAAGCCCUAGGUGAGCAGUCAGCUGAGUGCAACCACAUGAAGGAUCAUAGCUGACACCACCUAGCGCUGAGAAGAACUGGCCCUGCUGAGCCCUGACCAAACUGUAGAAUUAUGAGCAAACACAUGGUGGCUUUAAGCCACAAAGUUUGAGGGUGGUUUCUUUUGCAAUAAUAAACAUUUGCUCUACUAUACA